rnacentral:rRNA from 1 species
AGUAACGCGUGGGUAACCUGCCUCAUACAGGGGGAUAACAGUUAGAAAUGACUGCUAAUACCGCAUAAGCGCACAGUGCUGCAUGGCACAGUGUGAAAAACUCCGGUGGUAUGAGAUGGACCCGCGUCUGAUUAGCUAGUUGGUGGGGUAACGGCCUACCAAGGCGACGAUCAGUAGCCGGCCUGAGAGGGUGAACGGCCACAUAGGGACUGAGACACGGCCCAA